GUGAAUUACUGAAGACACCUACUCUCACUGUGUGAAGGGUACUAUGUGAUUGUAGCUGUAAUAGUGUUCCUUUUAUGAAUGUUAUUAUCAGAAGCUGGAGCGUUGGAUCAUCAUUUAACAGCUCUUUCUGCUCUCCUUCCAGAUGUUGGAUAUUUUAUUCACAUACCCACAUGAGUUUGCUUAACACUCCAGCUGUAACUCCAGCUCCAGAUUCUCAAGUGUCCUCUAUUGCUCUCCAUGGCACCACAUGCAUGCACUUAUACACAAAAAUAAAAACUAAAACUUUUUUAAAAUAAA